rnacentral:rRNA from 1 species
UUCUUUAAAUUUAAAGACUUUGGCGGUAUUUUAGUCAUUUCAGAGGAACCUGUCUUGUAAUUGAUAAUCCACGAUUUUUUUUACUUUAAUUUUAAAUUUGUAUAUCGUCGUGGUUUGAAAAUCUUAUUAUAAUUUUUUCAGAUCAAGGUGCAGUGAAUUUUGAAGAAAAGGUGGGUUACAUUAAAAAAUUUUUAUAAAUUGGAUUUGAAGGUAAGCUCUAAAAUAUGCACAUAUCGCCCGUCGCUUUCAUUUAAUAUGAAAUAAGUCGUAACAAAGUAGGUCUACUGGAAAGUGGACCUGGAAUGCGGACUGAAGCUUGUAAAGCAUUUUAUUUACAUUAAAAAGAAAUUUGUUAAUUCAAUUUAGUUUGAUAAAGAUAAUUUAUUUAUUUUUAGAUUACAAUUUAGUUAAGGAAAUUAUUUUAAUUAUUAAUAAUUUACUGAAAAAUUUUUAUUAUAGAGUAUAGGACUGUGAAGGGAUGUUUUAAAUGAGUUAUAAGAAAAAUUUAGUUUUUGUACCUUGGGUAUCAGGGUUUUUCAAUAAGUUUUUCUCGAAUCUAAGAGUGUGUAUUUUAUUGUAUUAAAAAUAAAUUUUAAAGUGAAAUUGGAAAUGAAACGUUAUUCGUUCUUAGUAUAUCUGGUUUUUUCAUAAAUAGAUUUAAUUUAUGGUGAAGUUUAAUUAAUUAAGGGGAUAAGCUCUUUUUAAAAAUAAUAUAACUUUUUUAUUGUUCAAUUUGAAUAGGAUUUGAAAUUUCUUGUUAAAAGUUUGUUGUAAUUUUUUGUUUAUUUGAUUAUGAAAAUUAUAUAUUAAUUAUAAGUUAUAUUAAAUAAUGAAUUAAUUAGUAAUAAUAAUUUAAGGAAUUCGGCAAAGUAAUUUUCCACCUGUUUAAUAAAAACAUGUCCUCUUAGAAUCAUAUAAGGUCGGGCCUGCCCUAUGAUUAAAUGGCCGCAGUAUAUUGACUGUGCAAAGGUAGCAUAAUCAUUAGUCUCUUAAUUAGAGGCUUGAAUGAAAGGUUUGAUGAGAAAAGAACUGUCUUUAUAAAUUUUCUUUUAAGUCAGAAGACUUAAAUUUAUUAAGAAGACGAGAAGACCCUAUAGAUCUUUUUGGUUGGGGUGAUGAGAAAAUUAAAUAAACUUUUUUUCUUUUUGGGUGUUUGAUCUUAGAUUAUAAGAAUAAGUUACCUUAGGGAUAACAGCGUAAUCUUCUUUGAGAGUUCUUAU